rnacentral:misc_RNA from 1 species
GGAUGAAGAACGUAGCGAAAUGCGAUAAGUAAUGUGAAUUGCAGAAUUCAGUGAAUCAUCGAAUCUUUGAACGCACAUUGCGCCCGCCAGUAUUCUGGCGGGCAUGCCUGUUCGAGCGUCAUUUCAACCAUCAAGCCCCAGGCUUGUGUUGGGGACCUGCGGCUGCCGCAGGCCCUGAAAACCAGUGGCGGGCUCGCUGUCACACCGGGCGUAGUAGAUUUUAUCUCGCUCAGGGCGUGCUGCGGGUCCCGGCCGUUAAAAGCCUUUUUUUACCCAAGGUUGACCUCGUAUCAGGUAGGAAGACCCGCUGAACUUAAGCAUAUCAAUAAGCGGAGGA